rnacentral:rRNA from 1 species
UACAUAGGUCUCAAGCGUUGUUCGGAUUCAUUGGGCGUAAAGGGUGCGUAGGUGGCGCCGUAAGUCAGGUGUGAAAUCUCGGGGCUCAACCCCGAAACUGCACUUGAUACUGCGGUGCUCGAGUACUGGAGAGGAGAUUGGAAUUUACGGUGUAGCAGUGAAAUGCGUAGAUAUCGUAAGGAAGACCAGUGGCGAAGGCGAAUCUCUGGACAGUUACUGACACUGAGGCACGAAGGCCAGGGGAGCAAACGGG